UUUUAAUGAGAGUUUGAUCCUGGCUCAGGACGAACGCUGGCGGCGUGCCUAAUACAUGCAAGUAGAACGCUGAGGAUUGGUGCUUGCACUAAUCCAAAGAGUUGCGAACGGGUGAGUAACGCGUAGGUAACCUACCUCAUAGCGGGG
rnacentral:rRNA from 1 species